UAAAUUUGCAUCGUAUGCAGUUUAAAUAGUGGAUAUCUAACAUUUUAUUUUUCUUUGUUUUUUUUGCCACUUCUGAUUGGCUGAAAAGAGGUCACUCGACCACCUGUAAAAAGCUAUAUUGACCGCUGUUUCCGGAAAAAAGUUUAUAAAAAAACUAUAUUGCACGGUUAUUUUUAGAAAGCAUCUAGAUCACACGAGGUCUUAGCGUUUUGUACGUACGUUAUUGACACAAGCGUUUGAGCGACCUGAAUAGUGUAAACAAUCAAAGAUGGCAGACGACAACCGUUUCCCCAAUCUGUCUAAAGACGAUAUCAACAAUAUUCUUGAAAAUGCCGACGCUCUUACACGAAACGAGCUACCAAUACAGUUGUGAAGCUUUUUCGACAAUACCUUACAGCCAGGAGCAUGCAGGACAAAUUCGAGGCAUAUUCUCCUGCAGAAUCAGAUGACGCACUGUCAGCUUUUUAUCUUGAGAUGCGUGACAGGAAAGGGCAACUUUACAAGAAAUCAACAUUGUUGGCCGAUAGAAGUGGCAUCCAAAGACACUUGGAGAAAGAACGUGAUGAUAUAAACAUAAGCAAGGGGGAUGAUUUCAAAAAUUCUAAUCGUGUUUUUAAUUCAAUGACCAAGGAGUUAAAACGCAAAGGUAAAGCGGUAAUAGACCACCAACCUCCCAUUACUGACGACGAUUUGGAAGCAGUAUGACCGAUAUGUCACCAGCAACUACGAGGACACACAAGUUUUUAUUGAUAUCAUGCUGCACUUUGGGAGGCGAGGGAGAAAAGAAUUAGCAAACCUGAAACACUAUGAUUUUUCUGUCACAAAAGACUCUACGAAUGCACUUUAUGUCUACCAAGUUACAGAUGAAAAGACAAAGAACCACCAGAAUGAUUCAGAGCUGUCUGAAGAUGGCCGAAUGUAUGAAAUCAAAGAGAGUCCACGGUGUCCUGAACGGUCCUUUGUGAAAUAUGUGCUGAUGCUGAAUCUUACUUGUCAUAGAUUUUCUAACAGCUGAUUAGACACUAUGAAAUGUAUCGUAUUUUGAAUACUAAACUAUAACAGGAUUCAAUUGAUUAAAAUUGAAUAUUGUUGUCUCAU